AGACUAUGACAUUGCCAUUUCCUGGCAAUUAAAAAUUCGUUUCCUUCACUUUUCUUUGUUAGUCGGCAAUGAAAUUCGAGUUUCAGUGUAUUUGAUGGUCUUAAGAAUUGUGUCAGCUUAUUUAAUUGUAUUGGCUAUCAAAUUGGUUAGUUUAGAAUUUUUAUCUAUAUUUUUUUUAGCAGAUUCAUGUGGGUGUUAGUUGAGUUUCAUUCUGUUGUUCAUGUUUACUCCUUAAUUUAUCGUUGCUUCCCCCACCUCCUUUUAGGAAGGUUUUUGAAUCUCAUUGCUUGAUGCUGAUUUUUUUUUUUGUUUUUAAUAUCAUCUUGAUCAGCUUAAAGCCUGUUGAUUAUAUGUGUUUU
rnacentral:misc_RNA from 1 species